AGUGACCCCGCGCCGAAAAUGUACCGGGGCUAAACAUAUUACCGAAACUGUGGAUGAACCUCUUUAGAGGUUCGUGGUAGGAGAGCGUUCUAAGGGCGGUGAAGUCAGACCGGAAGGACUGGUGGAGCGCUUAGAAGUGAGAAUGCCGGUAUGAGUAGCGAAAGAAGGGUGAGAAUCCCUUCCACCGAAUAUCUAAGGUUUCCUGAGGAAGGCUCGUCCGCUCAGGGUUAGUCGGGACCUAAGCCGAGGCCGAUAGGCGUAGGCGAUGGACAACAGGUAGAGAUUCCUGUACCAGUGCUAAUUGUUUAACCGAUGGGGUGACACAGAAGGAUAGGGAAUCGCACGAAUGGAAAUGUGCGUCCAAGCAGUGAGUGUGAGAAGUAGGCAAAUCCGCUUCUCGCGAAGCAUGAGCUGUGAUGGGGAAGGAAAUUAAGUACGGAAGUUCCUGAUUUCACGCUGUCAAGAAAAGCCUCUAGGAAGAGUAGUACUGCCCGUACCGCAAACCGACACAGGUAGAUGAGGAGAGAAUCCUAAGGUGAGCGAGAGAACUCUCGUUAAGGAACUCGGCAAAAUGACCCCGUAACUUCGGGAGAAGGGGUGCUCUAUUAGGGUGCAAGCCCGAGAGAGCCGCAGUGAAUAGGCCCAGGCGACUGUUUAGCAAAAACACAGGUCUCUGCAAAACCGUAAGGUGACGUAUAGGGGCUGACGCCUGCCCGGUGCUGGAAGGUUAAGAGGAGUGCUUAGCUUCGGCGAAGGUACGAAUUGAAGCCCCAGUAAACGGCGGCCGUAACUAUAACGGUCCUAAGGUAGCGAAAUUCCUUGUCGGGUAAGUUCCGACCCGCACGAAAGGCGCAACGAUCUGGGCACUGUCUCAACGAGAGACUCGGUGAAAUUAUAGUACCUGUGAAGAUGCAGGUUACCCGCGACAGGACGGAAAGACCCCGUGGAGCUUUACUGCAACCUGAUAUGGAAUGUUUGUACCGCUUGUACAGGAUAGGUAGGAGCCGAAGAGACGUGUGCGCUAGCAUACGAGGAGGCAAUGGUGGGAUACUACCCUGGCUGUAUGACCAUUCUAACCCGCCACGCUUAGCGCGUGGGGAGACAGUGUCAGGUGGGCAGUUUGACUGGGGCGGUCGCCUCCUAAAGAGUAACGGAGGCGCCCAAAGGUUCCCUCAGAAUGGAUGGAAAUCAUUCGCAGAGUGUAAAGGCACAAGGGAGCUUGACUGCGAGACUGACAAGUCGAGCAGGGACGAAAGUCGGGCUUAGUGAUCCGGUGGUUCCGCAUGGAAGGGCCAUCGCUCAACGGAUAAAAGCUACCCCGGGGAUAACAGGCUUAUCUCCCCCAAGAGUCCACAUCGACGGGGAGGUUUGGCACCUCGAUGUCGGCUCGUCGCAUCCUGGGGCUGUAGUCGGUCCCAAGGGUUGGGCUGUUCGCCCAUUAAAGCGGCACGCGAGCUGGGUUCAGAACGUCGUGAGACAGUUCGGUCCCUAUCCGUCGCGGGCGCAGGAAAUUUGAGAGGAGCUGUCCUUAGUACGAGAGGACCGGGAUGGACACACCGCUGGUGUACCAGUUGUUCCGCCAGGAGCAUCGCUGGGUAGCUAUGUGUGGCAGGGAUAAACGCUGAAAGCAUCUAAGCGUGAAGCCCCCCUCAAGAUGAGAUUUCCCAUUUCUUCGGAAAGUAAGAUCCCUGAAAGAUGAUCAGGUAGAUAGGUUUGGAGUGGAAGUGUAGCGAUACAUGGAGCGGACAAAUACUAAUCGAUCGAGGACUUAACCAA
rnacentral:rRNA from 1 species